UCCAGACUCCUACGGGAGGCAGCAGUGGGGGAUAUUGCACAAUGGGGGGAACCCUGAUGCAGCGACGCCGCGUGGGUGAAGGAGCGUUUCGGCGCGUAAAGCCCUAUCGGCAGGGAAGAAGGAGGACGGUACCUGACUAAGAAGCCCCGGCUAACUACGUGCCAGCAGCCGCGGUAAUACGGAGGGGGCAAGCGUUAUCCGGAUUUACUGGGUGUAAAGGGGGCGCAGACGGCGAUGCAAGCCAGGAGUGAAAGCCCGGGGCCCAACCCCGGGACUGCUCUUGGAACUGCGUGGCUGGAGUGCAGGAGGGGCAGGCGGAAUUCCUGGUGUAGCGGUGAAAUGCGUAGAUAUCAGGAGGAACACCGGUGGCGAAGGCGGCCUGCUGGACUGCAACUGACGUUGAGGCCCGAAAGCGUGGGGAGCAAACAGGAUUAGAUACCCCAGUAA
rnacentral:rRNA from 1 species